rnacentral:snoRNA from 1 species
CUACAGCCAAUUAAGCCGACUGUGCUCUUUCCCCAUGGGGCCCAGUGUGCAAUGGCUGCGAACAGCAGCCUCCUUGGUAGUGUAUGCAGCCUGUUGGUUGUACAGGUUGCUCUAAGGGACCUUGGAGACGGUU